GAUGAACGCUGGCGGCGUGCCUAAUACAUGCAAGUCGAGCGAACAGAUAAGGAGCUUGCUCCUUUGACGUUAGCGGCGGACGGGUGAGUAACACGUGGGUAACCUACCUAUAAGACUGGGAUAACUUCGGGAAACCGGAGCUAAUACCGGAUAAUAUUUCGAACCGCAUGGUUCGAUAGUGAAAGAUGGUUUUGCUAUCACUUAUAGAUGGUCCCGCGCCGUAUUAGCUAGUUGGUAAGGUAACGGCUUACCAAGGCGACGAUACGUAGCCGACCUGAGAGGGUGAUCGGCCACACUGGAACUGAGACACGGUCCAGACUCCUACGGGAGGCAGCAGUAGGGAAUCUUCCGCAAUGGGCGAAAGCCUGACGGAGCAACGCCGCGUGAGUGAUGAAGGUCUUCGGAUCGUAAAACUCUGUUAUUAGGGAAGAACAUACGUGUAAGUAACUGUGCACGUCUUGACGGUACCUAAUCAGAAAGCCACGGCUAACUACGUG
rnacentral:rRNA from 1 species